CGAACCAUCUCACAUCUGACAUCUCAUCUCUCUGUCGAUCCCCAUCUCUCUGCCCGUCCCCUGCCUCGCGCGGCACCUCCUCGCCGCCAGCAAUCACCGCUGACCCCGCCACCGUCGCCGCCAUGGGGGGCUUCUACAGGCACAUCGCGCCCACAAAGGAAGCACGGCGCCGCGGCCGAGGGUCCGGCACACCGGCGAACUCCGUCCGCUUCCUCUCUGGGACCUCGCCGCUGCUCCCCUAGGAUGACGCUUCGAGGACCUCACCGGACACCGCAGCUUCACCGGCGCCGCAUCCCCGCGCAACACAAUCGAGUCGCCCCUAAAGCCACCUCCUUGCCUGCCGGCCAGCCGCCGUCGAGGACGACGGGGUCCGACUUCUUGCCGCGUGUCGAGCCUCCGGCUUCUGCUCACUGGAAGAUGCACCACCUAUGGUGGGCGUCGCCGUCCACGACGUCAAGCCGCCAAACUAGCAGGAGAGCGGCCCGAGUCCGCUCUGCACGCUCCGUUGUCCAGUACAAUCUCCUCCAAAAAGCAGUAUCUUAGUUGAUUAAGAUGAAGAAUCCUUCCGAAGUUCUAUGAUGCAUGGAAUGUGAUUCGUCUCCUAAAUUAUGCGUGCAUUCAGGUAAUUAAUGGAAACUCAAGAAAAUGGAUCGCUCGCCGCGGGGACGCAGCUGCUGGCUAGGCUGGCCGCUGGUGCGCUAUGAAGACUUUGCAGAAGGUCACAAUCCAUUAGCUGAGUGCCAUGGGCCAUCAUGCUUGUUUAACUGGACAGGUACAUCAUCUCCUGUGAGCAGCAUCGAUCAUCAUUGGGAAUAGUGUCACUCCUGCCGGCAUGAUGCAUGAAAGGCACCAGAGCAAGCGGCACAACCUCAUCUCGUGCCUGCAGGUCCAUGUGCACCACGAGUCCACGAGGGCGACUUUGGUUGUGCUCCUAUGGCGCAUCAAUGUGAGGCGAUUCGUGGCACAGAGUCGCAUCAAUGUGAGACGAGUCGUGGCGCAACAGCUGUUUAGGCUGGAGCGUGCUGAAGCCGUUCGGGGCAUGUCACAAUCCAGCAGCUGGCUGGGAUGAGUGCCAUGGGCCAUGGUGCUAGUCUAGCUGGUCAGCCACCUCACCAUCUUGAGUGAGCAGCAUCGUCGGGUAUGGUGUCAUCAUCCUCCCCCUGCUUCUCUUCUCUGUCCAAGUAUCACAACAUGUGACUCAAUAUAACAUGUUCUUUCUAUUCUCGCUGGACUGUGAACUCAAGAAUCCAAGUCAUUUAUCUGUGUUUAAUUAGUGGCAUGCAUCCUGUACUAUUAAAUUGUGUGCUCAUAUGCGUCCUUGCUGCUGUAAUCUGCACUACAUGUUUGUUCUAUCUAGCCAUUAGACUUUUUCAUGAUUUUUUUUUUGUUGCGUGCUACUGUUUAGUAGCAGUACUAAUGUUUUGAGACAGAGAGAACUUCAAGUUGUUGUCACUGUUUUGUUCAUUAACACAGGGGAGUCAGAUGAGAAAUUAAGGUGAGUCUUGGUUUCAGAUGUUACGCAGUAACUUUCUUCUAGUAGAUGGAUUGCAGGUUCCGCCAAUUUUUACCGAAGCAGAUUACCUAAUUGGUGUGCGCAUGUGAUGCCUGAGUUUGUACCUAUCCACUUUGAUGGCAUAGGCUACGCUGCUUGAUUCGUGAGAUGGAUCAGGUUGUAUGUUGGUUCUGGUCGCACGGCAAUCUGGCUAUACGUACAUGUAUUUGAUGCAUGUGUGGAUGCUGGUUCAUUCAUUGGAUGGACUAAUUAACUUUAGUUUUUGUAUGGUUAUUCUGAAUAUUGAUGGUCCUAUGGAUAGCCAGCAAUGUGUGCCUAGCGACAGUAGAUGAUUAGCGUGUAGUUUAUUCAUCUUCUAAAUGAUUAGCGUGUAUUUAUUGACCUUCAUAUUUAGGAAAGAAUUUAUUUACUUUGAUCAUGCUUGAAAAUGUUUUCACCAUAUAGUUCUCAAUUAUAUUGAGAUUUGUUAUGUAAUUAUGUUGAGGUUAUUGAUAUGAAAGUAUUAUGAGGUAGUUCGUGUGGGUACUGGGACAAGAGAAAUAUGUACUGACCUUUGUUUUUGACGUUGCUUGUAGUAUCUACUUCACUAUAAUUCAGUAUGCUAUCUAUUCUUUUAUAUGUUAAAGUUUUUUUUCCCGCGAAACUCUUUAAAAAAGAACAAUACAACUGCUAUUUUUUUGGACAACCUCGGUUGCAAUCUUCAUUUCAUAUUUAAGGAAGUCAAAGUUGCGAUGAAGAUAAGUAAAAAUGGUCAGAUGAAUAAUAGUACGUAUAUGCUAACACUAUUUAUCUGAGAAUGACGAAUGAAGAGGAAAACCCUAUUUAUAAUUUGUAAUAUACUUGUCUUCCUCUUAUGUUAUUUGAGAUUGAGUUAAACUUCUUGAUUCUGUCUCGAAGAGUGCACAUCAUGCAUGCAUGUUUUUAGAUGCAUGGUAGGUAUGUGUUAAGGAAUGCAUUAAAUAUGUAUUUUCUGAAUAACAUAAGUGAUGGUCCAGAUAGAACAUGGUUUUGGGUAAGGCGCUCUGCCGCUUUGGAUAUAUCAUUUCUUUUUAUGUCACAAGUUGUGCUUCCCGAAUGUCCACAGGCUGUUCUGGUGGCAGGCAAACUUGAUCUGACCACUAGUGUUUGUGAAGCACCCCUUUCGGCCGAGCACCUUGUUCUGCUCUGUCACUAUUGUUGUUACAAAGGUAAUGCAACUCGACGAGAGAUGAAGAGGAGCUUCAGCUGAUGCACCUCUAGUUUGAACUGGGAGGACCAGGUGAUGAUUGUGAUGUGGGGCUUCUCCAUACCAGCAACAACGGUGCUACUUAUAUCUCUGUAGAGGAUGGCUAGGACUUCCUCAAGGAGGUUCAAAGCCUAUGGUAUUUCACCAUAUUCAAAAAGGACACCGCGGAGGUUUUACGUUUACCCCUCUAGGAUAUCAUUUUCAUGAUAUGCCGUUUCAUGACGGUGACUUGGAAGAACCUUCUGCUGCCAACAAAUGGAGAUGCCAUCACACUGGAAAUGAGAGAUUUUGGGUUUGCUAGCUGAGAGCUUCGUUCUCGCUGUUGCUGUUGUGUGGCAAUUUUUCUUUCCCCUCCAAUUCAAAUUAUUGCGGAGAUGGAGAACAACACUGAAAAUCUGUAAUUGUUAUUUCUUAUAUCAAGUUUGAUAUUUAUUCACAA